UAAUUGUUAUUAAACAACGUACGCUGUGUAUAGUUAUGGUUUAUCUGGAAGUAGUGCUGGAAUAGGUUAGUUGUUUCAUAAGUUAAUUGUUAUUAAACACCGUACGCUGUGUAUAGUUAUGGUUUAUCUGGAAGUAGUGCUGGAAUAGGUCGAGGAUCAGUACGAGGACGGGGGUCAGGAGUUGCCAGGGGCCAUCGUGGCCCACCUAGAGUCAAUCAUAGUCAGAAAUCGCCGUCAGAGGGACAAAGUGCAGAACCAGCGAAGACGUCAACAUCUUUAGGAUUUUAUGUACAGAACUCACCACAGUAGCCCCCUCUGUAAUAAUAUUUAGUUUGUCCAGCAGAAAGGAGUGGUCAUUACUUGCGGGACUGGUUAAAAAGGGGGACUACAUCAGCUUUUUACUUUGCUCAAGAUGAUUGUAACCCCUCAAGAGGCCAAUGGACAGUUCACAUGGCCGUGGUCAACCGGUCUGUUGCACUACGUUGAUGUUAGACUGUGUUUAAGUGGACACAAGCAGGGUCAAAUUUCUCUGGACAGGGACCUCUUUGAAACGUGUAGUGUAGAAUAUUAACUCUUGUUCGGGAGAUGUAUCGAUAGUGUAUGUGCGUGUGUAUAAAUUUAGUGUGUUUGACAAGUGAACAUUUCCAAAGAACAAACAGCGCGAACCUGACUUUGGAAAUCAUUGUAGAUUCGAUCGCGAGGUAGACGUACACUUUUACAUUAUUAGCAUGUACAGAGAUCAGCUUCAAAUAUGAAAUUAAAAGUUGCUUAUUUCA